rnacentral:lncRNA from 1 species
UGUACAGUGUGUCAGUCAUUUGCAUUGUAUUCCCUUUACAAAAUUUGUGAUAAACUCGGCUUUUAAAAGCUUUUGAGGCUGAGCGCAAAUUACAAUCCAAUAUGCGAUAUUACACAACUCCUGACCAUCUUCUUUCCUCUGUUUUCGGUUUCCUCUUGAGGACAGCAUGCAGCAGUUCAGGUGGGUGUGAACAGCACGCAGAGCUCCGCUUCUGGUGAAAUGAAACCGAAAGCGCCCCAGUCUGUACGAGCCAGCGGCUCCGUCCUUCUCUCAGUUGUCUAGCGAUCAUGGCAUCAAGCUCCGACAGUGCUGCUUUGGCUGAAGCCGUGCAGGUACUACAAUGAGGGUCACUGCACCAAAGGGAAGAAGUGCCCAUACCUGCACAUCUGCAAGUACUAUUUGAAGGGGGGCUGCAGGAACGGCUCCCAGUGUGAUCUCAAACACGCUGCUGCUUCGAGAUCAGAGUCCUCCUCAGACGAAGGUACUGGCCACCCCAUGCGCUCGAUCCUCCCAUCCGUAACACCCAGCAACUAACAUUGACCCUCUCAGAGCCUCAUAUUAAUAAACCUUAAAACUGCAGGUUGGUGUCGCUCUGAUGGGUUGACUUCAGUCUGCCCGUCAACUCUAUGGGGUUUAAAAAACAAAAAUCAUAGUGGUGCUCUAAUUCAGGAUGACUGGUGGUUUGAUUGUGCUUUUGGUAUUUCUGUUACACUCGCUUUGCUUUUUGAAUGAUCCUUCAAGGGGGCAGCUGGGCGUUACUGUAGAGCGAGCC